rnacentral:rRNA from 1 species
GAUGAACGCUGGCGGCGUGCCUAAUACAUGCAAGUCGAGCGAACGGACGAGAAGCUUGCUUCUCUGAUGUUAGCGGCGGACGGGUGAGUAACACGUGGAUAACCUACCUAUAAGACUGGGAUAACUUCGGGAAACCGGAGCUAAUACCGGAUAAUAUUUUGAACCGCAUGGUUCAAAAGUGAAAGACGGUCUUUCUGUCACUUCUAGAUGGAUCCGCGCUGCAUUAGCUAGUUGGUAAGGUAACGGCUUACCAAGGCAACGAUGCAUAGCCGACCUGAGAGGGUGAUAGGCCACACUGGAACUGAGACACGGUCCAGACUCCUACGGGAGGCAGCAGUAGGGAAUCUUCCGCAAUGGGCGAAAGCCUGACGGAGCAACGCCGCGUGAGUGAUGAAGGUCUUCGGAUCGUAAAACUCUGUUAUUAGGGAAGAACAUAUGUGUAAGUAACUGUGCACAGCGUGACGGUACCUAAUCAGAAAGCCACGGCUAACUACGUG